GUUCUGUUAGGUGUUUCCAUCUGGUAUCAAGUAAGCGAUUUACGGUGAGCGGGAAAGUCAAUUCCCGUCAUGCCAAGCGCGACGGACAUCGCUUUUUCAAACAUGGCGUCGAAAUAUAACAUCGGAGAUCUCGUCUGGGCGAAAAUGAAGGGAUUUUCACCCUGGCCGGCCAAGUGGAUACACAAAAUAGCAAGAACUAUUAUGUAUAGCAGUGAUGUCUAAUCAAUCUGCAAUUCCUGGACUAAAUCUGACCUGCAAACAUAUUUGAUACAUUAUUUAUAAAUAAUAGAAAUAGGCCUACUUUCUUAUAUAUGGAAUGUAUAAAAUAUUUGUGGCCAACCUGACAGGUACAAUUUGGUACCACUGGUGUAUUGUAUGCACAUAACCCACAUGUACAAACACCUCUUCACCUACAAAAAGGUUGUGAUGUGCUAUAUUACACGUGUUUUGGACUAAUACUUUAUGAAGAAGCUCUAAAUUCAAAUUCCACCAAGAGUUUUUCUGCAGUUUCUUAUUUUUGCAGUUGUAUGAAAGAGACUGCUGGUUACAAUCUGCCAUACUGUUUGCUUUAUGAUGGAUUUCAUUCAUAUGAAUUGUUUGAGGACAGUAGUUUUUAUAGGAUGGUAGCCACCAUGAUUCAUCACUCAAAUCUGGACUUUUUUUAUGGGCUUUUCUGAAGAAAAAUAUUCCAGAAUAUGAUUAAAUGUAUGAAUAAGUGUUUAGAACAUAAUGGUUAUUAUUUUCAGUAUUUUAUAUAGGUAGUUUGGUUUAUUAUGUAAAUGGAUGAAGAAAAUUCAUAAUAUGAAAUAUCAAUGUAUAUUUAUCACUGAAAAUGUAAACAUGAAAAAAAUGAAAAUGUUAUGUAAAUGUUAAAUUGUAUUUAAUUACAUUAUUUAACUUGCCAAAGAAAUAUAAAGCCAUAAAAUGAAACUUAUUUUAUAUAUUAACAUAAUUUUAUUUUUAGUAAUAUUUUAAUUUUUGAUAUCACUUGGAAUAAGAUAUAACAAAUUGAAUUAAAUGCACAUAGUCUAUAUCAGUUUGUGAAAUCAGUAAAACUUCAGUAUAUUGAGUUUUGAAUAUACUGUUCUAAAUAGCACUAUGUUCACAAAGACCCAAUGACUACUUGUGCCAGAUAACUUUAAUAUUACGAAUUACUAAACGUAUCAAAUACUGUUGUAUGGCAAACAAUCAAAUUGCUAAAUCAUUGUGAAUUUCAAACUUUUAAACCCGGACUUGUGUGUAAAUCUCAUUAAUAAAGUAUAUGUAAUUCUUAUUGUUUGAAAAUUAUUUAAUAAUAUUCUAAAUUGCAUAUAAAUGUUGUUUUAAUUAAUUUAAAAAAUUAAUUUCUACACUAAGGUGUAAAGUAAUGGUAAUGGUAAAUGAAAAUGGUAAUGGCAUCAUUUUUAGUUAUGACUUUAUUGGCAAAAUGGUGAAAAGUAAUGCUGUUGUGUGUAAACAAAAUGAAACAUUGCACAGUUAAACUAAAGUCGUGGUCACACCUUGCAAUUUCCAGAUAUGCAGGCAACUGUAACUGCGAUGGCUGUUCCUGAUAACUAAUAAGCCCCUUCUAAAACCAGCACAACUGCAAACACAUCUAGAAACAAAAAGUUUGUUCUACUCAUGUCAAUUGCAAAAGCACAUUCAAUCAGCAAAUGCCUUUGAGCCAUGUCAUAUGGUGGCAACUUUGAAAAUAGUUAUCAUCAUGGUAGAAAUUGAGAAUACCAACACAUACAGAUGUAAAAUUGAUAUUGAUUGAGCUUAUUCAGGCACACAAAUGCCUGUGGAGUUUUAAUACCUCAUUUUAUCAAAGAUAAGAUAAAAGAACACAGGCAGGGCAUGAGAUAAGUGAGUCUUGCCACUAAUUGAAAGUACUAUUUUUAGAUUUCUGGAUAUAAAAUGUUGAUUGUAGUUUAGUAAUGAUAAUAUUAUUUUAAAUAUAGCUAAAGAACUAAGUAAAAAGUACCAUCAUUUGUGAAUGACAUUUCUUCAGAUUAA